rnacentral:rRNA from 1 species
ACGAACGCUGGCGGCAUGCCUAAUCCCUGCAAGUCGAGCGAACAUUUCUAGAAGCUUGCUUCUAUAAAUGUUAGCGGCGGAUGGGUGAGUAACACGUGGGCAACCUGCCCUGCAGAUGGGGAUAACUCCGGGAAACCGGGGCUAAUACCGGAUAAUCAGUUUGUCCGCAUGGACAAACUCUAAAAGACGGCUUCGGCUGUCACUGCAGGAUGGGCCCGCGGCGCAUUAGCUAGUUGGUGGGAUAACGGCCUACCAAGGCAACGAUGCGUAGCCGACCUGAGAGGGUGAUCGGCCACACUGGGACUGAGACACGGCCCAGACUCCUACGGGAGGCAGCAGUAGGGAAUCUUCCACAAUGGACGGAAGUCUGAUGGAGCAAUGCCGCGUGAGCGAAGAAGGUUUUCGGAUCGUAAAGCUCUGUUGUGAGGGAAGAACAAGUACGGGAGUAACUGCCCGUACCUUGACGGUACCUCAUUAGAAAGCCACGGCUAACUACGUG